rnacentral:rRNA from 1 species
AGCGAACCUCNGAAAAGCAGUCUCAGUUCGGAUUGGAGGCUGAAACCCGCCUCCAUGAAGCCGGAAUUGCUAGUAAUCGCGGAUCAGCAUGCCGCGGUGAAUACGUUCCCGGGCCUUGUACACACCGCCCGUCACACCAUGAGAGCCGGGGGACCCGAAGUCCGUAGCCUAACCGCAAGGGGGCGCGGCCGAAGGUAAAACUGGUGAUUGGGGUGAAGUCGUAACAAGGUACC